UACAGAGGGUGCGAGCGUUGUCCGGAAUCACUGGGCGUAAAGGGCGCGUAGGCGGCCUGAUAAGUCGGGGGUGAAAUCCUGUGGCUCAACCACAGGGCUGCCUCCGGGACUGUCGGGCUCGAGCACAGUAGAGGCAGGUGGAAUUCCCGGUGUAGCGGUGGAAUGCGUAGAGAUCGGGAGGAACACCGAUGGCGAAGGCAGUUCUCUGGGCCGUAACUGACGCUGAGGAGCGAAAGCGUGAGGAGCGAACAGG
rnacentral:rRNA from 1 species